AUUGCAGGCUGAAACUCGCCUGCAUGAAGUCGGAAUUGCUAGUAAUCGCAGAUCAGCAUGCUGCGGUGAAUACGUUCCCGGGCCUUGUACACACCGCCCGUCACACCAUGGGAGUCGGUAACACCCGAAGCCUGUAGUCUAACCGCAAGGAGGACGCAGUCGAAGGUGGGUUUGGUAAUUGGGGUGAAGUCGUAACAAGGUACC
rnacentral:rRNA from 1 species